GUUUGGGUUGCUGAGUCGUUAUGUUACUAUUCUCUGUUGAAGUGCAGAACUCGAGAUUCCAGAAGCAGAGAAGAUGAGGAUGUUCGGUAAACAUGUAUUUCCAGGCCAAAUCGUGCUCUUCGCCUCAGGGGUUCUGUUCUUGGCAUCGACGACGUACGACGUGCACAGAUCAAUAAAGAACAAUCAAACCCCUCCUUCCAAGGAGCAAGUGGAGGCCUUAGAAGAGUACAUCAGGUCGCGGCGUCGUUCUCCUUAAUUGUGAAUUCUUCCUCCUCUCUGGGUCUCCCUGUCAUUUGACUCUGUUUCUCAAUGCAAUAUUUGCAACGUUGUUAUUUUGUUUCCGUCAGUAACUUAAUUCAUCUAAAUAUGAAUAACACGAGUUCAUUAUAUGAUAGUUCGGUUUGUAUAAA